UAAGUAUUUGGUUGGUAGUAUGUUUAGUGAAUUCGGAUUGUAUUGGUUGGUUCAUGUGUCAAUGACCGUUUCCGCCUGCGUGAUGGGCAGGAAGCAGCAGAACGAUUGAUAGUCACUUAAGCUUCUGCCACCACCCGCUACUGACGUGUCCCUCCAGCGAUCAUUGUCCUGAAGCCAUUUUGUUUUAUUUCUGAAAUUAUUAUUUGGUUGGAGAUUCAAGAAUUUAAGUUGGAAGGAAGUUUUUGGUUUAUGUUGAAAUUGGUGAUGAGAGUGAGGUUUUAGUUUCAAUAUCAGAGAAUUUUGGACAGUGGUCGCUGGAGGGAAAGAUUAAGUCAACAUCUGAUUAAGUUGUUGGAUAUGGAAUAAAAAUAAUAAUUUUGGGGAAUUAUGGAAAUUUUGGUGUAUUUAUGGAAUGGUUUUUUUGUGUUUUUAUGGAAGAUUAGUUGAUUUGCCGGUACUGAGGGGUACCUCCAAGUCGGUGACAAGUCUGCCACCCUCCUAAGGUUUGGGAACACAGGAAGAUACCUUGCGUGGAUCACCCUUGAAAGAGUUUGGAGAAGAAACCCAUCGUCACUUUGUAGAAGCGACAAACUAAAUUUGCAUGUGAAUUUGUUCUAAUAAUAUUUUCCACUUUUACUUAUUUUUGUAUCAAUAACUUUUAAAUAAUUCUAAUAAUAAUAUACCCUCAUUUUUUCUUAAAACAUAAUUAACAUAAUAUUCAAUAUUUUUCAUCAAAUUUUAUAUUUCACCGUUAUAUCAUGUAUUUAAAAUAGUGUGGGGAUUAUAAACUAUCUGGGAAGGUACUGUGCACAAUACCUCGGUUUAUAUCCUAUUUAAUAAUAAUUAUUUCAUUUGUCAGGUAUUGUCAGGUUUGUCACUUCCGAUCAGAUGUGAGAUUGUCAGCCAAUAUUGUAUUCCUCAUUAAUAAUAAGUUUGUACACACAUCUUUAGAUCAAUUAAAUGUCUGAUAUAAUAAAUUCAUUACAUAUUUUUAUUUCAUAUUGUAAAACCUCCGUUAUCGACAGGAGCGUACUAGCCUAGUACGUUGGGUAGUUAGCUAGUGUAUAAAAUUAUAUAUAGGGUUAUAGGUAUUUUUCAUUAAAUUUGUUGGUUGUACAUAAA